CAGCAGCCACGGUAAUACGUAGGUGGCAAGCGUUGUCCGGAAUUAUUGGGCGUAAAGCGCGCGCAGGCGGCUUCCCAAGUCCCUCUUAAAAGUGCGGGGCUUAACCCCGUGAUGGGAAGGAAACUGGGAAGCUGGAGUAUCGGAGAGGAAAGUGGAAUUCCUAGUGUAGCGGUGAAAUGCGUAGAGAUUAGGAAGAACACCGGUGGCGAAGGCGACUUUCUGGUCUGUAACUGACGCUGAGGAGCGAAAGCGUGGGGAGCGAACAGGAUUAGAUACCCCGGUAGUCCCUGUCUCUUAUACC
rnacentral:rRNA from 1 species